rnacentral:rRNA from 1 species
CGGAGGGUGCAAGCGUUAUCCGGAUUUAUUGGGUUUAAAGGGUCCGUAGGCGGAUCUGUAAGUCAGUGGUGAAAUCUCAUAGCUUAACUAUGAAACUGCCAUUGAUACUGCAGGUCUUGAGUAAAGUAGAAGUGGCUGGAAUAAGUAGUGUAGCGGUGAAAUGCAUAGAUAUUACUUAGAACACCAAUUGCGAAGGCAGGUCACUAUGUUUUAACUGACGCUGAUGGACGAAAGCGUGGGGAGCGAACAGGAUUAGAUACCCUGGUAGUCCACGCCGUAAACGAUGCUAACUCGUUUUUGGGGCCUUGGCUUCAGAGACUAAGCGAAAGUGAUAAGUUAGCCACCUGGGGAGUACGUUCGCAAGAAUG